UAGUGGUCUGGCUGGAGGAAAUUUUGCUUAAUGAAUGCCUGUUAUAUGCUUGGCACUGCACUGGCUGGAAGGAACCUUUCUUCUCCUUCACAACCUCUUAUUCUGCAUGCCUCCUGAAGCUGAGUGCUCAGCGGAAUAGAUUGACUGUCCACACAGAGAAGACCAUUGUAGCCAAUGGUCUUCACGUACCUGCACUUUUGCUAGAGCCUGUAAACAAGUUCUACGGGGCAUACUUGCUCCUGUGAUGCCUUUCGAGGUGCAAUUAGGAGAGGCACACCCAGUGACUAUCACGAUCAAAGAUCUGGUAGUUUGUU
rfam:TPA: Bos taurus chromosome 3, whole genome shotgun sequence.